AUGAAGCAGAGAGAAAGGACUUGAUGAAAGAAAUGUAAAGAUUAUGAAUGAAAGGAAAAUUAGUAAAGAAUAUACUUAAAUGUGCUAGGAGUGGACAAAAAGUGAUAGAUACUCGCACCGUUCGCUCCAGAGGAGGCGCUAGUGACACAUCCGGAGCUCAAGCCGCCGAUGAAGCCCGAAGAAGAAGCGGCACGUGACGUCACGAUGACGCCGGUGAGCAGCUGAACCCGGAAGAGAGAGAGACGCCCGAGCGGAGACACAUAAACAAACGAAUCGAGCGGAAAAACAUCGAAUUAAACCAUCAGACCUUAUAAAACCGCAGUGAACAUUAACAUGGACGACACACUCUUCCAGCUUAAGUUCACGGCGAAGCAGCUGGAGCGACUGGCCAAAAAGGCAGAGAAAGACUCCAAAGCCGAGCAAGCCAAAGUAAAAAAGGUAGAGCAGCAGAUGUGAGACGUCACUGCUUCAGGGUGUGUUGUGAUAGUGAUGUCAGCUUUGUCUGUGAAGAGACUUUCAGCCAGCAUAACAGAAAAUGUUUUUGAACCAAAUCACCUACCCUGCCUUUAAAACCUCAAACAGGGGC